GGCUCAAUGGUCUAGUCGUAUGAUUCCUGCUUUGGGUUUUCCAACCUAUUCUGCAGGAGGUCCCGGGUUCAAAUCCCGGUUGAGCCC
rnacentral:tRNA from 1 species